CUUCAACCUGGCAGGAGCAAAACUCUCAGGGAUCAUCGUACAGCAUGGCCUUCCACACAAGCUGUUUUUCGAUAUCACAGGGAGGAGUGAAGAGGUAAUGGUGAAGAAAUCUCCCAAUUGGAGCCUCUUUAGAACUUCCCUGAAUGGCACCAUAGAGUCAAAGACUUACAAAACAUCAUAGUUGGAGGUGAACUCAGAGCUCAUCCACCACAACCCAAAUCUAGAAAAUAAUUCCUUCAAUAAGAAGAAAAUUUCUGACUGUGUUGGAAGUCCCUCCACUAAGGAAAAAUCCAAGGCCUGAUGAAAAUGUUUCAUCUCUGAGAUGCUUCUCUGCUGUGAUCUGGCUACUGAGACCGUGAAUAAUGUAUGUGCCCUACUUUAUCCAACAUUCCCAGGGAGUUACUGCCUGGAACUCACUUAAGCAAACACACCCACUGUUUCCCAACUUCACCCACUGUUUCCCCGCUCCAACCCUUUAUGUAGGUUAGCUGGGCAAAAACCUUGGAUCCACUAUGCACCUUAACCUCACUCUUUAUUUCCUGAAAAUAUUGAUAGGAUUAUAGAAUUAAGCAUGGAAAUAAGAUUUCUAAUCAAACUCCAUUUUACAGAUAAGGAAACU